UGAAAAUACCUUCUUAUAGAUAUGUAGUCCCAUAAAAAUGUGAGUUUAUUGAAAUUUAGGUAUUUUCUUAUUGGUUUUGAUCCUGGAUUUACCUUGAAGUGAUAAAGCAUUGUAAAAUUAUGAUAUGCACAUAUAAAGAAAAUACUCAUGAAAUAUUCCAAUGCUCUUGUAUUGGCAAAGUGUUGUAUGUGAUCACCAGAAUUUAAUGGUCAGAUUUCUAGUCCUAUGUCCUAGUCUCAUUAUAGUACCAAAUUGUGUGUAUGUACUUACUGUCUCUUUU
rnacentral:lncRNA from 1 species